GAGCUUGCUCCUUUGAAGUUAGCGGCGGACGGGUGCGUAACACGUGGGUAACCUACCUAUAAGACUGGGAUAACUUCGGCUAACCGGAGSUAAUACCGGAUAACAUUUAGAACCGCAUGGUUCUAAAGUGAAAGAUGGUUUUGCUAUCACUUAUAGAUGGACCCGCGCCGUAUUAGCUAGUUGGUAAGGUAACGGCUUACCAAGGCGACGAUACGUAGCCGACCUGAGAGGGUGAUCGGCCACACUGGAACUGAGACACGGUCCAGACUCCUACGGGAGGCAGCAGUAGGGAAUCUUCCGCAAUGGGCGAAAGCCUGACGGAGCAACGCCGCGUGAGUGAUGAAGGGUUUCGGCUCGUAAAACUCUGUUAUUAGGGAAGAACAAAUGUGUAAGUAACUGUGCACAUCUUGACGGUACCUAAUCAGAAAGCCACGGCUAACUACGUGCCAGCAGCCGCGGUAAUACGUAGGUGGCAAGCGUUAUCCGGAAUUAUUGGGCGUAAAGCGCGCGUAGGCGGUUUCUUAAGUCUGAUGUGAAAGCCCACGGCUCAACCGUGGAGGGUCAUUGGAAACUGGGAAACUUGAGUGCAGAAGAGGAAAGUGGAAUUCCAUGUGUAGCGGUGAAAUGCGCAGAGAUAUGGAGGACACCAGUGGCGAAGGCGACUUUCUGGUCUGUAACUGACGCUGAUGUGCGAAAGCGUGGGGAUCAAACAGGAUUAGAUACCCUGGUAGUCCACGCCGUAAACGAUGAGUGCUAAGUGUUAGGGGGUUUCCGCCCCCUUUAGUGCUGCAGCUAACGCAUUAAGCACUCCGCCUGGGGGAGUACGACCGCAAGGUUGAAACUCAAAGGAAUUGACGGGGACCCGCACAAGCGGUGGAGCAUGUGGAUUUA
rnacentral:rRNA from 1 species